ensembl:lncRNA SNAP25-AS1 SNAP25 antisense RNA 1
UUCCGGGCGAUCAGAAGCCAGGGAUCUCUGGGCACCUAUGUGCCUGGGCCUGCUGGGGCGACCGGGGAGGCCCCUGCUCUCGUCCUCUGACGCUCAGCGCUGGCCCAGCCGCGACCUUGGGCUCCCGGAGCCCGGCGGAGGCGCCCAGGCGUGAAUGAUGUCCCUUGGAAUGUUCACUCUGGGGGAAGCCAGCUGCCACGCUGUAAGGACACUCGGGCAGUCCUAUGAAGAGGCCCGUGUGGUGAGAAAGAGAGGCCUCCAGCCAACAGCCAUAGAUGGGGUCUUGCUAUGUUUCCCAGUUGGAGUGCAGUGAUUAUUCACAGACAUGAUCCCACUACUGAUCAGCAUGGGAGUUUUCACCUGCUCCAUUUCCCACCUGGGAGGUCAUCAUAUUGAUGGCGAGCUAAGUGUGGACACCUGAUCAGCAUAGCACAGUACAGCCCAGAACCCCUGGGCUCCAGUGAUCCUCUUACUUCAGCCUCUUGAGUAGCUGGAACUACAGGCCUGCACCACUGCACCCGGCUAGUUUGUUUUUGUUAGAGUUUUGUCUCUAGGAUUUUCCUCAGCUGAGUAUGUGAAGGCUAACUUCUCCUUGUGAAUCUGCAAAUAUCCUUAUUUUACCCUUUAUUUUACCAUGUAUCAUUUACAGGUAAAUGAUAUCUUAGCUGUGUAUUGAAUUUCUGUUUUUUGUUUUUUCUUCAGUACUCUAUAAAUAUUACUCCAGUAUCUUCUAGCUUCUCCCAUUUUCUCCUAGUGAAUGGUUAUUCUGCUCUUAUCUAGCAGGUGAUAAAUCUGUCAACAGAUAGUUUUUCCUUUUUGUUUUA